rnacentral:rRNA from 1 species
ACGGCUCAGUAACACGUGGAUAACCUGCCCUUGGGUCCGGCAUAACCCCGGGAAACUGGGGAUAAUUCCGGAUAACGCACAUAUGCUGGAAUGCUUUAUGCGUAAAAUGGAUUCGUCUGCCCAAGGAUGGGUCUGCGGCCUAUCAGGUAGUAGUGGGUGUAAUGUACCUACUAGCCAACAACGGGUACGGGUUGUGAGAGCAAGAGCCCGGAGAUGGAUUCUGAGACAUGAAUCCAGGCCCUACGGGGCGCAGCAGGCGCGAAAACUUUACAAUGCGGGAAACCGUGAUAAGGGGACACCGAGUGCCAGCGUCAUACGCUGGCUGUCCAGGUGUGUAAAAUACACCUGUUAGCAAGGGCCGGGCAAGACCGGUGCCAGCCGCCGCGGUAACACCGGCGGCCCGAGUGGUGAUCGUGAUUAUUGGGUCUAAAGGGUCCGUAGCCGGUUUGGUCAGUCCUCCGGGAAAUCUGAUAGCUCAACUAUUAGGCUUUCGGGGGAUACUGCCAGACUUGGAACCGGGAGAGGUAAGAGGUACUACAGGGGUAGGAGUGAAAUCUUGUAAUCCCUGUGGGACCACCUGUGGCGAAGGCGUCUUACCAGAACGGGUUCGACGGUGAGGGACGAAAGCUGGGGGCACGAACCGGAUUAGAUACCCGGGUAGUCCCAGCCGUAAACGAUGCUCGCUAGGUGUCAGGCAUGGCGCGACCGUGUCUGGUGCCGCAGGGAAGCCGUGAAGCGAGCCACCUGGGAAGUACGGCCGCAAGGCUGAAACUUAAAGGAAUUGGCGGGGGAGCAC